GACGAACGCUGGCGGCGUGCUUAACACAUGCAAGUCGAACGGAGUGGCGAACGGGUGAGUAACACGUGGGUGAUCUGCCUUGCACUCUGGGAUAAGCUUGGGAAACUGGGUCUAAUACCGGAUAGUGCAAGAUGAGCUCGCGGCCUAUCAGCUUGUUGGGGGGGUAAUGGCCUACCAAGGCGUCGACGGGUAGCCGGCCUGAGAGGGUGUACGGCCACACUGGGACUGAGAGACGGCCCAGACUCCUACGGGAGGCAGAAGUGCGGAAGAUUGCACAAUGGGCGGAAGCCUGAUGCAGCGACGCCGCGUGUUGUAUGACGGCCUUCGGGUUGUAAACUCCUUUCGACAGGGACGCGGUACCUGUAUAAGAAGCACCGGCUAACUACGUGCCAGCCGCCGCGGUAAUUC
rnacentral:rRNA from 1 species